rnacentral:rRNA from 1 species
GACGAACGCUGGCGGCGUGCUUAACUCAUGCAAGUCGAACGGUGAAGGGACCGGUUUUUGCUGGUUCUGGAUGAGUGGCGACCGGGUGAGUAACACGUGAGUAACCUGCCCCCUUCUUCUGGAUAACCGCAUGAAAGUGUGGCUAAUACGGGAUAUUCUGCGCCUGCUGCAUGGUGGGUGUGGGAAAGAUAUUGUUUCGGUGGGGGAUGGGCUCGCGGCCUAUCAGCUUGUUGGUGGGGUGAUGGCCUACCAAGGCGGUGACGGGUAGCCGGCCUGAGAGGGUGGACGGUCACACUGGGACUGAGACACGGCCCAGACUCCUACGGGAGGCAGCAGUGGGGAAUAUUGCACAAUGGGCGCAAGCCUGAUGCAGCGACGCCGCGUGAGGGAUGGAGGCCUUCGGGUUGUAAACCUCUUUCGCCAGUGAAGCAGGCCUGUCCCUUUUGUGGGUGGGUUGACGGUAGCUGGAGAAGAAGCGCCGGCUAACUACGUG